GACGAACGCUGGGCGUGCUUAACACAUGCAAGUCGAACGAUGAAGCUGGAGCUUGCUCCGGUGGAUUAGUGGCGAACGGGUGAGUAACACGUGAGCAAUCUGCCCUCGACUCUGGGAUAACUGCGGGAAACUGUAGCUAAUACCGGAUACUUUCACUGGAAGGCAUCUUCUGGUGAAGAAAGAAUUUCGGUCAAGGAUGAGCUCGCGGCCUAUCAGCUUGUUGGUGAGGUAACGGCUCACCAAGGCGACGACGGGUAGCCGGCCUGAGAGGGUGACCGGCCACACUGGGACUGAGACACGGCCCAGACUCCUACGGGAGGCAGCAGUGGGGAAUAUUGCACAAUGGGCGCAAGCCUGAUGCAGCAACGCCGCGUGAGGGAUGAAGGCCUUCGGGUUGUAAACCUCUUUUAGCAGGGAAGAAGCGAAAGUGACGGUACCUGCAGAAAAAGCACCGGCUAACUACGUGCCAGCCGCCGCCGUAA
rnacentral:rRNA from 1 species